rnacentral:rRNA from 1 species
CCUACGGGUGGCAGCAGUGAGGAAUAUUGGUCAAUGGGCGUAAGCCUGAACCAGCCAAGUCGCGUGAGGGAUGAAGGUUCUAUGGAUCGUAAACCUCUUUUAUAAGGGAAUAAAGUGUGGGACGUGUCCUGUUUUGUAUGUACCUUAAGAAUAAGCAUCGGCUAACUCCGUGCCAGCAGCCGCGGUAAUACGGAGGAUCCGAGCGUUAUCCGGAUUUAUUGGGUUUAAAGGGUGCGUAGGCGGCCUUUUAAGUCAGCGGUGAAAGUCUGGGGCUUAACCAUAGAAUUGCCGUUGAAACUGGUAGUCUUGAGUAUGUGUGAGGCAGGCGGAAUGCGUGGUGUAGCGGUGAAAUGCUUAGAUAUCACGCAGAACCCCGAUUGCGAAGGCAGCCUACCGGGCCAUGACUGACGCUGAUGCACGAAAGCGUGGGGAUCGAACAGGAUUAGAUACCCCAGUAGUC